CAAACCCUCGUGCAAAGUCCAACCUCACGAACGCCUCUAAGACUCCAAACGCUGCUGGCCAUCAGAGGAUCAAACUCCACCCUCAACCUCGUCUCCAAAGUUGUCGACCAUCUACAAUAGUAGUCUGUCACUGGCAAACAUCGCCCACCAUCCAUCUCCGGUGUCUAUUUUCUUUACAACUUUUAAUAUUUACUCAUAGAUCUUAAAGAUUUUGUUUUAUCUCUCACCAUUUUCCUUCUCCCAAUUUUUAAUUUUUUUUUAGUUAUGUCCAUCCGGCUUUUCAUUCUCCCCAUUCUCCAUUCUCCCUUCCUUCUUCUUCUUUUCUCUCUUCCUUAACCCUCUUCCAUAGCCAAACCUUUUCAACGACAAAUGAAUCGGGCAGUGAAGUGGUUCGCUUUAAAGUUUCUCCCUCAACUACUUGGUUAUUCAGAAGGGUGACAUCACAAAGUGGUUCAUCGAUGGCGUUCUUUUGAUGCCAUUGUCAGUAACUCUAUCUUUGACCUCUACUUUGACUAGGCUAAUUUAUUAAAGGGCUUAUUGACUUGCUUUUUUGUUUACAGAAAAAAAAGUGUGAUGAGAUGUAAUCAAUUGAAAUCUCAUGUGUCUUUGAGUAAUUAUCGAACCAUCUUUUGUUUGAAUGAUGGGAUGGUUAGGAUUUUAUAUGAAUUUCUUUGAGUUUGUAGUUGAAUUGAAGUGAGAACAUUCUAUAGGGGUUGGAUUGCUUUUACGUUGCUACACCUAUAAUUAUCAAUAGUCAUUGAGAAUUGUUUUGUAGAAUUUUGAUUUUUUUUCUCCUUUUUUUUUUUUUUUGUAAAAAACAAUUCUAUUGAUGAAUGAAAUACACAAGUAAAAAGUAAAACUCCAAACACUAAAAUUCAAAAGGACUUUUCAAAUGGAGACUAAAUGGAAAAAGCUUUAUAGAAUAAUAAAAUUAAAAAAACUUGCACUAGUAGAGAGUACAAGUUUAUGGUAUGUUUAGCAUACCAUAAAUGAUGGUAUGUUUAUCAUUCUCAAGGAACUUAUGUAUAUAAAUACCAGCAUUCUACUAUAUGUUUAGCAUUCUCAAUAAUUUAUGGUAAUCAACAAUUCUUAGAAGAUGGCUUUAAAGGAACAAUAGAAUGUUUAACGAGGGCAAAAACUCUUUAAUUGUUUGUUAGUAUUUUUUUUUUCUUUUUAUCAGUUUUAGUCGCUACAUUAAUUUGAUGUAUUAUUCUCUUUUUUCAACAAGUAUUAUCUAAAUGAUCUUUUGGCAAAUGGAAUACUUUUUUAUUUCAAUGAGAAACCUUUUUAUUUAAAGAAUGAAAUACAUCAGUUGAAGUCCUUUGUUUAUGUAUAGACAGGAAGGGGAAUAAUUAUAAAAAUCAAUUGAACCUAGGAAAUGAAGUAACAAAAAUCAGUUUUUUUUCCUAGCUUUCUACUUUGCUUUCUGAUAUAGGACUUAACAUUCAAGAAGCACAUGUGUUUUCAACAAUUGAUGGUUACUCCUCGGAUGUAUUUGUCGUAGAUGGAUGACCUAUUGAGGAAACUGUAGCAGGAUCUGUGUUAAGCCUAUGUGAAUAUCUCUGUUACUAUAGUUGUAAAUUGGUAAGAAUUUUUCUUUCAACUUGGGUUUUCCUAGAUGUGUCGUUUUCUAGAAUAACAAGAUGAUGUACCAAUGCAUAUGUGAAUAGUAACAAUCAUAUUUUGGUAAGAAUUUUUCUUUAGUUUUUAGCUUUCAACUUGACUUUGUGAUCGAUCUCUUUAUGUUUGAAAAAACAAGGUAUUUGCCCAUUUUACCGUUCUCCCCUUUACCUCUUUGUUCUACUAUGUCCUAGGUGCACUACUAUACAGUUAAAUUCAAAGUAAGAGUCCUUUUCCAACUGUUCUAUUGUUUACUAUUGAGUUGCAAUUAUUUGGGUCUCUUCCUAGUUCCUAUAGUAUAUUCAGGAUGCUUCUCGCAACCAGAAAUGCCAUGAAACUUCAAAACUAACUUUUUUGUAUUUUCAAUUCCUAACUCAAUUCCUCUGUGAUGAUUAUAUUUAUCAAUUAAUAGAUAGUUGUUACAAGUUUUAUUUUGUGUUUAUAACUAUCUAAUGCACUAUGUAUUUACAUUUUCUUUGCAACUCCGAUCAUGUUCUUCAGACACAUUUUCAAGGUUGGCUGAUGGUUAUAAUCAUGGCACUCUUGAGUGGAUUUGCUAGAGUGUACACUGAGGUAAAUUACAUGUGUUCAAUUUUAAUAAUGUCACUAUUUUUUUAAUCAUACAUACCAUUUGUUAAAAUUGAAAGGCUCCUCACCCCCAAGUAAGAACUUUCAAUACGUUAAAUAGGUUUCUGUUGAAACAUGAAAUAUUUCAUCGAUACUUUGAUAGAGAAACCUCUGUUGACUUUUGUGCUGGGUUUUAGUUUGAAAGCCAUGGGACAAUUCUUUUUAAGUUAAAUUCUGAUCGGUGUUUUUUUCAUUAUGCGUAAAAUUUUCUUCCGUGGGCUAUAAUCAAGAAACGCCCUUCAAGUAAUGUAAAUGUACAAAACUUCUUGUUGUAUAUGUUUGGCAUGACAUUCAAUUUGGCAUGGCGUUCAAUGCUAUUGCCAUAAUGAUUCAAGAUUUUGAUGCAAUCGCGAAUAAGUAAGUUAGCACUUGUGCAUUUUUUUUCUUUCUAUUUUUCUCUCCAUGAUUUGAAGAACAUUAAUUUAUGAUUUUGAUUUGGAUACAAACUUUCUUUUUUCUUUGGGAAAAUGGGCUAUUUUCUAGUAAUCUAUACCCAGAAAAUCUUAAAUUUUGUUUGCCACCUGAAUAUUUUGUUUGACUAUGCUUUUGUUAGGGGGUUCUUUCAUGGUGACUCAUUUAUUACGGUUAUCAUGAUCCUAAAUCUCGCCCUCAGGUAUUAAAAAUUGCACUCUUAGAGUUAUUAGCAUCAAUAGUAGAUCUUAUCAUAGGCUAACUUUAUGGAAGUCUUCAUUAUUCAGUCAAUUAAGUCUUGUGGGUUUGUGUGAUAGUGUGAAAAUAUACACUGCAAAAAUAGUACCAAGUCUAUUUUCUUAAUUUUCUUAUAUCUAGAAAAAUAUGGUGACAACAUUUGUUUUUCCAGUGGCAUUGUUGUAUCUAUGGUGUUGAAGUAUGCUGAUAAUAUUGUGAACAUAUUGCUUAUUACAACUACAUGGCCUUAAUUCAUUUGGUGAAUUUAUUUGUACUACCUUUAAGGUCCUAGGCCUACUACUUAAAGUUGUUAUAUUGCAAUCCUACUACAAUCAUCAUCAAAUGUGUAUGUGUUGUGUUAUGUAUGUGUUGUGUCGUUAAAGUGUGUUGUGUAUAUGUUGUGUUAUUGAAGUGUGUUGUUGAAGUGAAUGUGUUGUGUUAUUGAUGCAUAAAGUCAUACUCUAAAAUUUCUUUUUAGUUUCUAGGUUCUGCAAAAAUCCAUUGGAGCAGUGAAGCCAUAUUUGCGGCAAUUCAUUGAUGUAUAGGCCUUUUUGUAGGUUUGGUAGCAAAAAUUUGGUUCAAAUGUACUUAUUUAAAUAGCUUGUUCGUACCAAAACAUAUAUGUUCAUUGCUUCAUUGUACAAACACUUUACCAACAAUUGUACAUAUAUUAGAAAGUGUAUGUUAAAGUAUAUAUAUUAAAGCGUUCACCGUUUCUUUUCA